rfam:Candidatus Woesebacteria bacterium RBG_13_46_13 RBG_13_scaffold_102, whole genome shotgun sequence.
UCGUAAGUUUUUACAGAACGCAGACAGUGGAUACCUUGGUCUUAUCUACCGAAGAAGGACGUACAUGGUCGCGAUAGUCGUCGGGGAGCUGCCACGAAGCUUUGAUCCGGCGGUGUCCGAAUGGGGAAACCUCUGCUUUAUGCAGGCUUUUUCGCCAAGCGUUCCGAUUUAUCGGGACUACUAACGGAAAAGACGGGAACCACCCGAACUGAAACAUCUAAGUAGGGUGAGGAAGAGAAAACAAUGUGAUUGCGCAAGUAGCGGUGAGCGAAAACGCAGAAGCCUAAACCUUAGCUUGCUCCGCAAGGAGUUUGCUGGGGGGUUGCGGGACUUUAAUGUGAGACCUUGUUUGAUAGCGGAACGGCAUGGAAUUGCCGACCAUAGAGAGUGAAAGUCUUGUACGCGAAAUCAAACGAGGCUCUAGAAGUAUCCCAAGUACCACGGAGCACAUACUUUGUGGGAAUCUGGGGGAACCAUCCUCCAAGGCUAAAUAUAGAUAAGGACCGAUAGUGAACUAGUACCGCGAGGGAAAGGUUAAAAGAAGGGUGAGACACCCAGUGAAAUAGAACUUGAAACUGUUUGCGGACAAACCGAGAGAGCUCCUGUAAGGGAGUGAUCUCGUGCCUAUUGAAGAAUGAACCGGCGAGUUGCCGUCCUUUUCUAGUCUUACCGCGCAAGCGGGCAGGCGUAGGGAAACCGAGUCUUAAAAGGGCGUUUAGAAAAGUGCGGCAGACCCGAAACCAGGUGAUCUAACUAUGAGCAGGGUGAACCUCGAUGAAAAUCGAGGGGAGGCCCGAACCCGUCUGGGUUGCAAUCCGGUGGGAUGACUUGUGGUUAGCGGCAAAAUACCAAUCGAACCUGGAGAUAGCUGGUUCUCCCCGAAAGGUCUAUAGGGACCGUGCCACGCAAGGUGUUACUGAUGGUAGAGCACCGAAUGGGACAGAGAGGGCAACCAAUUUGUUUCAAUCGAACUCCGAAUAGCAGUGUACAUUAACGUGGUAGACAGUCACAUCGGGCUAAGCUGAUGUGGCGAGAGGGAAAAAUCCCAGACUUUCGUCUAAGGCCUCUAAGUUUAUCUUAAGUUUCAAAGGAAGUUCCUUUUCUCAAACAGCCAGGAGGUUGGCUCAGAAGCAGCCACCCUUUAAAGAAAGCGUAACAGCUCACUGGUCGACGGAAGGGGGCGCCAAAGAUUUAUCGAGGAUUAAAGAUAACGCCGAAGACAAAGAUGCGGAGCAAUCCGCGUGGUAGGGGAGCGUUCCGACAGCGGUGAAGUUGAACCGUAAGGUUUGAUGGAGCGGUCGGAAGUGAGAAUGCCGGUAUGAGUAGCGUACAACCUCAGUGAGAAUCUGAGGCACCGAAUACCCGAGGUUUCCGCCCAGACGUUCGUCGAGGGCGGGUUAGUCGGUACCUAAGGCGAGGCCACAUGGCGUAGUCGAUGGAUAACUAGUUAAAAUUCUAGUAUUUGGUUUGAAUCGUUAUUAGUUGGGGAAUGACUUGGAUGGAUAAUUGGAGCCAGUUCGUGAAGUCUGGUGCAAGCUGUUAAGUAGUGUCAGGUGGAAAAUCCCUUGAUGCGAUUAAUUAAGCAGUGAUGCAAAGUCCUGCGAGAGUGGGGCGAUUCCAACAAUUUCAACCAACAGGAAAAGUUUCGCAACGAGAUUCAGAUCAAGCCGUACCGUAAACCGACACAGGUGGGUUGGACUAGUAGUCUAAGGUGAGCGAGAGAAGGAUGUUCAAGGAAUUCGGCAAAAAAUCUACCCGUAACUUUGGGAGAUGGGUUACCCGUCGCAAGACGGGUCACAGCAAAAGUUUAUUUGUCGACUGUUUAUCAAAAACACAGGUCCCUGCGAAGUCGAAAGACACGGUAUAGGGGCUGACGCCUGCCCAGUGCUGGUAAGUUAAGGGGAGGGGUGAUUAUCGCAAGAUUUUUGCUCUGAACUAAAGCUCCAGUAAACGGCAGCAGUAACUAUAACUGUUCUACGGUAGCGAAGUUCCUUGUCGGGUAAGUUCCGACCCGCACGAAUGGCGUCACGAGCAAAUAACUGUCUUGAACAUUCACUCGGCGAAAUUGCGAUGGCUGUGAAGACGCGGCCUUGUUCCACCAGGACAAAAAGACCCCGUGGAGCUUUACUGUAGUUUGGCAUUGAUUUACUUAUUCUGAUUGUCAAGUGUAGGAGGGAGCGCAAGCGUCAAUGUGACACCUCUCUUUGGAAUGUAGCAAAUCUUACCCAGAAGCCUUGAAUACAGGUUUGGGAAAAGUGUCAGAUGGGCAGUUUUACUGGGGCGGUACCCUGCAAAAGUGUAACGCAGGGGUACAAAGGUUGGCUUACUACGGAUGGAAAUCGUAGGCAAAGCAUAAAGGUUAAAGCCAGCUUGACUGCAAGCGAGAAGUCGCGAGCAGGUGCGAAAGCAGGUCUUAAUGAUCCUCCGAUGCGUAAUGGGUAUGCACGGAGCUUAACUGAUAAAAGCUACCCCGGGGAUAACAGAGUAGUCGCGCCCGAGCGUCCAUAGCGACGGCGCGGUUCGCUACCUCGAUGUCGGCUCAUCACAUCCUGGCGCUGGAGAAGGUGCCAAGGGUCGGUCUGUUCGCCCGUUAAAGUGGUACGUGAGCUGGGUUCAGAACGUCGUGAGACAGUUCGGACUCUAUCCGGUGGAACCGUUUGAGUUUUGAAGGGAGUUGGCCUCAGUACGAGAGGACCAGGCUGAAGGAAUCCCUGGUGUGCCGGUUGUCGCGUCAGCGGCAACGCCGGGUAGCUAUAUUCCUAAGGGAUAACCGCUGAAAGCAUCUAAGUGGGAAGCCCACCCUAAGAUUAGAACUCGUCAUAGACCCCCAGGAGAAUACUGGGUUAAUCGGCUGGCGGUGGAAGCGGCGUAAGCUGUUAAGCCUACCAGUGCGAAUAGGUCGAGAGACUUACGAAC